AGAAUCAACGCUGGCGGCGUGCCUAACACAUGCAAGUCGAACGAGAAAGGGGGAGCAAUCCCUGAGUAAAGUGGCGCACGGGUGAGUAACACGUGACUAACCUACCCUGGAGUGGGGGAUAACUGAGGGAAACCUUAGCUAAUACCGCAUAAUACCCACGGGUCAAAGGAGCAAUUCGCUUUGGGAGGGGGUCGCGGCCGAUUAGUUAGUUGGCGGGGUAAUGGCCCACAAGACGAUGAUCGGUAUCC
rnacentral:rRNA from 1 species